rnacentral:rRNA from 1 species
AGAGUUUGAUCCUGGCUCAGGAUGAACGCUAGCGGCAGGCCUAACACAUGCAAGUCGAGGGGCAUCACGAGGUAGCAAUACUUUGGUGGCGACCGGCGCACGGGUGCGUAACGCGUAUGUAACCUACCUAUAACAGGGGCAUAACACUGAGAAAUUGGUACUAAUUCCCCAUAAUAUUCGGAGAGGCAUCUCUCCGGGUUGAAAACUCCGGUGGUUAUAGAUGGACAUGCGUUGUAUUAGCUAGUUGGUGAGGUAACGGCUCACCAAGGCAACGAUACAUAGGGGGACUGAGAGGUUAACCCCCCACACUGGUACUGAGACACGGACCAGACUCCUACGGGAGGCAGCAGUGAGGAAUAUUGGUCAAUGGACGCAAGUCUGAACCAGCCAUGCCGCGUGCAGGAAGACGGCUCUAUGAGUUGUAAACUGCUUUUGUACGAGGGUAAACUCACCUACGUGUAGGUGACUGAAAGUAUCGUACGAAUAAGGAUCGGCUAACUCCGUGCCAGCAGCCGCGGUAAUACGGAGGAUUCAAGCGUUAUCCGGAUUUAUUGGGUUUAAAGGGUGCGUAGGCGGUUUGAUAAGUUAGAGGUGAAAUACCGGUGCUUAACACCGGAACUGCCUCUAAUACUGUUGAACUAGAGAGUAGUUGCGGUAGGCGGAAUGUAUGGUGUAGCGGUGAAAUGCUUAGAGAUCAUACAGAACACCGAUUGCGAAGGCAGCUUACCAAACUAUAUCUGACGUUGAGGCACGAAAGCGUGGGGAGCAAACAGGAUUAGAUACCCUGGUAGUCCACGCAGUAAACGAUGAUAACUCGUUGUCGGCGAUACACAGUCGGUGACUAAGCGAAAGCGAUAAGUUAUCCACCUGGGGAGUACGUUCGCAAGAAUGAAACUCAAAGGAAUUGACGGGGGCCCGCACAAGCGGAGGAACAUGUG